GAUGAAGAACGUAGUGAAAUGCGAUAAGUAAUGUGAAUUGCAGAAUUCAGUGAAUUAUCGAAUCUUUGAACGCACCUUGCGCCCUUUGGCUAUUCUGAAGGGCAUGCCUGUUUGAGUAUCAUGAACACCUCAACUCUCAUGGUUCGCCAUGAUGAGCUUGGACUUUGGGGGUCUUGCUGGCCUACGGUCGGCUCCUCUCAAAUGAAUCAGCUUGCCAGUGUUUGGUAGAGUCGCAGGUGUGAUAACUAUCUACGCUUGUGGUUUUCUGCCAGAUAACCUUCAGUGAUGGAGGUUCGCUGGAGCUUAUAAAUGUCUCUCCCCAGUGAGGACAGCUUUUUGAACGUUUGAUCUCAAAUCAGGUAGGACUACCCGCUGAACUUAAGCAUAUCAAUAAGCGGAGGA
rnacentral:misc_RNA from 1 species